rnacentral:rRNA from 1 species
AUUUGACCUCAAAUCAGGUAGGAGUACCCGCUGAACUUAAGCAUAUCAAUAAGCGGAGGAAAAGAAAAUAACAAUGAUUCCCCUAGUAACUGCGAGUGAAGAGGGACAAGCUCAAAUUUUAAAUCUGUUAGGUUUACCUAACCGAGUUGUAAUUUGAAGAGGCGUUUUCUGUGUUUUUGAUCAGCCCAAGUCCUUUGGGAUAGGGCAUCAUGGAGGGUGAGAAUCCCGUUCGGUUGAUCAGAUUCGCUUUACGAUACGUCAUCUAAGAGUCAAGUUGUUUGGGAUUGCAGCUUAAAAUGGGAGGUAAAUUUCUCCUAAGGCUAAAUAACGGCGAGAGACCGAUAGCGAACAAGUACCGUGAGGGAAAGAUGAAAAGAACUUUGAAAAGAGAGUUAAACAGUACGUGAAAUUGUUGAAAGGGAAACGAUUGAAGCCAGUCGUACCUUCGGGUAAUCAGCCUUUCGGGUGCGAUUCUGUGGAGCGUGGGGAGUUAAACGCCUUCAUGCCUGCAUAUUCGUGCACUUUGGGUGUACUUGCCCGUGUGGUAGGUUAACAUCAAUUUCGGAUGUCAUAAAAUGGCUGGAGGAAUGUAGCUUCGGUCUCGUACUGAAGUGUUAUAGCCUUUGGUAGAUGUGAUGACCGGGAUUGAGGAUUGCAACGAAUACCUUUUGGGCUAUCCGUCUGAUCUCUGAAAGUUGCUCUGGUGCCGAAAGCUUGCUUACGGUUAUCAAAGUUGACGUUCAAAAGGUUAGAACGGGUUAAAUUCGUUAAGGAUGUUGACGUAAUGGCUUUAAACGACCCGUCUUGAAACACGGACCAAGGAGUCUAACAUAUAUGCGAGUGUU